AGGAUCAUCUGCUGCUUAAUGGGGGAGAAGGGGGUCAGAGAGUGGGGUUCACUGCUCCAUACUUGGGGGCACUUAGCACCAAGUUAAAAUCCUGGGACUUCCAAGGUGAGCCCAUGCUUUUCACCCCAAUAAUGUUGCCUGAUCUAUACUUACCUGAGGUUUGUCCCUAAGGUGCGGAGUGAAUUUCUUCAUCUCUCCUCUCUCAAGAAAACAAAGUGGUUCCUGAGUUGAGCUCUUCUCUAGUGAAAAAGAGGCCAGACUGGAAGAAACCUGCCAUUCACAGCACUCCCAAGGAGAUGGCUAUGGGCUGGAGCCCAAGGCCCUCAAGAAGGACCUUCCAACACCACCAGUCCUUGAUAUCUGAAGAUUCCUUCCAGGACUCUGUGUCCCAGCUGGCAGGGGUCAGCCCCACAGCCACCUUCAGAAAAAGGCUUUCAACUGUUCAGGACUUGGAGAGUUCCAGUGAGCAGGUGGAGCCCCAUUCAGACCAUCUAGCUGCAGAGGAAGAACCACGCAUGUCAGCCUCAUUGAACAAGGAGCAGCUUCAGAAGACAGAGGCCCUGCAGGCAGCGAGCCGGCCAAGGAACUCAGGAAUGCCUGGGAUUCCAGACAGUCCCUGGCAGAGGAGACGGGACCCAAAGAAACAAGCAGCUGCAAUGCGACGCAUGCGGCAAUGGGAGGCCCAGAUGCUUCUGGAAAUUGAGGAGGCGGUUCAUCACGAGCUUACCAUCCAAGAAGGUGUCCCUAGUACUGGGAUCCCUGACCAAGCCCAGGAACCAUUCAACAUCAGCACAGUCAGUGUAGAUGCCCAAGACCCUGGUGCCCUGGCAUGACUUCCUUGUCUACACCACUCGUGCACACCAGCUGGUCCAGGACUGCAAACCAGAAGCUGCCACUGUGCAACUCCAGCAGCUGCAACUGUGAAGGGCAACUUUAGAUUUCACGUGACGUGAUGUUCUCUAUAGGUGAUCAUUUACUUUAUAUUUAAACAUCUGCAUGCUUUACAAGCCACUGCCUACUAAGCCUCCAUUUUCAUUUGUGUAAUUAUCUGGCUAUAAAAGCAGUCUUGUGAAAGUGUCAGAGCUUUAUUAAUUUUUCAAAUAAGACAGGGUACUAUUUUUAAAACCUGAUUAGAACUGUGUGACAUGGAGAUUGAAUACAUCAGAGAAAAG